UACGUAGGGGGCUAGCGUUGUCCGGAAUCAUUGGGCGUAAAGAGCGCGUAGGCGGCCAGAUAAGUCCGGUGUGAAAGUCACAGGCUCAACCUGUGAAUGCCGCUGGAAACUGUCUGGCUAGAGUCCGGGAGGGGCGAGUGGAAUUCCUGGUGUAGCGGUGAAAUGCGCAGAUAUCAGGAGGAACACCAAUGGCGAAGGCAGCUCGCUGGGACGGUACUGACACUGAGGCGCGAAAGCGUGGGGAGCGAACAGG
rnacentral:rRNA from 1 species